AAAAAGAAACCAAGAUACUUACCAUUAUGUCCUUUUCAUUUUAGGAACCUGUCACACAAGGUGGAUAUCUUCCUGACCUUAGGUGCUUUUAUAUUCAGCUCAACAUUCUGAACUCAGGACUUGGCAAGAAUUUCUACGUGGACUGCUCAGUGAGGCAUCCUGAUUCUUCAUCCAGUUCCUUUCCCCAGUGAGAUGCGAAUGUCUUUCGACAGAUUACCUCCAUGGUGUAGGAUGCUUUUCUUUUACUUCUUGUCAGACUCAACACAGAAAAGCCCUGAGGAUGCAGCUGUCCUGUUGACUUCAAGAAGAAAAGAAACAACUGACUUGGGUCUUCUGUAGUUUUUUAAUUAGAAAGACACCGUUUGCAAGUAGAAGGAAGAUGUUGAAUUUGAAACAAGUGCUUAGGUUGUGUGGUGUAAAUUGUUUUCUUUUUAAAAGAUCCAAACAAGAAGACUGAACAAAUACCAAUGAGGGUGACUUCAGGGUUUUUUUUUUAAGUCUUCCAUUUUUAACACUAUUAUAAGCACAGUUGAGACUGCAGUGGUAAAUUCCAAGUAUUAAUAUAAUUUGAGGUGAAAGAAAUGUCAUCUAAAUUCUGGCUCGCUCUUUGACAGACUUCCUGGACAAAAUCAAGAAACGAUAAAAGCAGAAAGGCAUGACACCAGGUUUGAUUUCGUGUGGGAGUGAAACCGUUAGAGUUUUAUGUGUAUAAAUCCACAUUUUUAAACAAGCUUUUUCUCUUGAAGAAGAAACCUGUUGUUUAUUAGAAGGCUUUGGACAGUUUGAUAGUCUUACGUGUUUGGGUUUUGUCUGUUUUCCUUUGCUUUUUCAAUCCUUCUCAGGAAGAACCAGCCGGGCCUGUGGCUAGUUCAGAGUGGGAAGAAAACGUAGGAUGGGGUGAUGCUCACCUUGUACUGCCAGUGCUUGGGAGGCCAAGACAGGAAGAUCAGAUGUUCAGGACCAGCCUGGACAUCAUGAGACUCAAAACCAGCAAGAAAACAACAGAGCCCAGUAACACCCUCUUUUAUAUUCCUUUUGUGGAAUCACAUGUAGCAUGUGAGACUUUGGUUUCCCAUGUGGCUAUGACAGGAAGGGAAGUGGCAUAUGUGGUCUUUCGGUUAAGGUGAUAUUGCGGGCCCUGUUAUGUAACUUGCCUUCACCUUUGGACUUACAGGAAUGAAGGAAAAACUAAGGCUUGGCAUAUAAAUCCUUUUCUCUAAGAAAAGCAAAGUUGUCUAAUGUAGCAUCGUCAGACUUUUCAACAUUUUUACAUUAUAUAGUUGCAUUUUUUAUAAAAGUAUGAAUAAUUUCCUUCAACCCAAGAUGGGUACUUGGACAGAUUUUUUUUUUUAGGUGAUAAUGUAAUGUUAUACUGAAAUUCUGGGACUCAGGUAAUUUUUCCCAGUUUGAAUUGAGCUAUCUUACCAGAGAAUGGACCUCAGAAGCAAUGGUCCCAGUCCUGAGGUUGGUUCGCUAUCAUCUCAGAUUUGGGAUCUGAACAGAACUUCAAGUAAGAGAAGCAGAUCCAAUAAGAAGUGUGGAUGUAGUUGCUAGUCACUGUAGAUGUAAAGGAGAUUGUGGGGUGGGGGUGGGGAUAACUGGAGAAAACUAGUUCCAAUAAGAUGUAAAACAUUCUUUUCUUCCUUAAUAAUUACGUUAUAAGGAACUAUUGUGGAAACAUCUCCUUGCUUCCCAGUUAAUGGAAGUCUAUUAUAUGGGAUGCCAGGCGUUUACAUGGGAGGGUCCCAGUGUUUGCAACGGCUGCCAGCACAGAAGGAGCUUUAGCUUGGUAGAUGAGUUAGGAACAGAUGCUGUGGGAGCUGAUUCUGGAACAGUUUCUAGGUGCUGCAGUGCUGUGAAUUUGAGUCAUAGAAACGAUCAAAGUUAGGAAAUGUUGAACCUUCUUGGUUAGUCAGAUUGGACAACAUAUUUGAAUUUAUACUAAAAGCUUUUUCAUAAAUAUUUAUUAUAAAUAACCUAUUAAUGAGAGCAAAUAACGAUAAAACACUAGAGAAAUAACAAGUUAAAGGUAACCUAAAUUGCUGGGCUUGAUCGCCCACACUUGUAACCACAGUGUUGUGGAGAUUGAGGCAGGAGGACUGGCCACAAAGAUCAAGGCCAGCCUCAAAAUGAAACAAAAAUAUAACCCCCAUUCUUCAAGUGCCCCAACCACUUACAUUUUUAUUUAGAAGACAAAGCCAGCUGGUGAUUGAGAGCCACUCUUAGAUGCCCGCCCCAGCUGUCUGUCCUUCACCUUGCCCUCGGGCAGGCACUGCCUACCAGGGAAGUGUCACCCGUUUGCUCCACACCUUGAAGUGAGUGUACUUUGUCAAAGAUGCUCCUGCAUCCUGCAUUGUUAACACCAAAUGGUGUUCACAGCAUGAGUGGAUUCCAGCCCUAGUUGCCUGGUAUGUGGCACAUUUCCAUUUAUAGUUUUACAUGGGUUUUCUUAAAAGCAGCAAAAUUACCAUGUUAGAACUGUGCCUCCAUUUAUAGCCGUGCCUCCUUCCUUCUCCAUGUAAACUGGCAGUUUUUCUUUUGAAGUUACUAAACAAAAACGGGGUAUGUGCAAUAUAAAUAUAUAUAUAUAUAAUGUAUAUUUUAAUACUUGUGGACAAGUGUUACAAGUUGUUUAAGAACAACAAAAUCACCAAUGUCUUCCAUUUUGAGAUGUGUAUAGUUUUGUAAUCAGUAGUGCUUGGUAGCAUAUUGUAGUGUCAUGUUAGGGGUUAGUGCAUGAAUUUAGUAUAAUUUUAAACUACGAGAUGAAAUAUUGAUAAUAACCAGUAGUGUAAAAAGUGUGGAAAAUCCUAGACCUUUUGUGUAUGAAUCUAUGGUAGCCUCCCUGGGGAUAGGAGAUAAAGACCAAAACAGCUAAUGUCUGAACAGAAAUGUGGGUUCAUACUGAGAAACAUUGUGCUUGGGGGAAUGUUAAGCCUCUAACAGGUCGCUAGAAAUAGUUGCCUUUGUAGCUCUUCAGUCCUCAGAGCAAGGCCAUGGUUCAUGGUUGUCUUGCUGUCUCAGUUUGAAGCUAGCUUGUUCUUGUAUUGACUUUGCAUUGUAUGUCUUGGGUUUAUUUUUCCUAUUAUGUGUCUAGAAAAUUUCUGUUUGCAUGUCUGAGAUGCUAUGCCGAUUGCUUUGGAAUGUUUACUCUGUGGCCAUUUCCUUUCCUGAUUGCAGCAUGUGUGCUGAUUGCAGAACCUUGUCAGCAAUUUGGAGUAUCCUGUGCUUUGACCAGUUCCACCUCUGACUUGGGUGUUGAGUCCAGUCUUUCUCAUAACUGAUAGCUCAGUGGGGCCCAUGUAGGUUGACAAGAAGUAUGUUGGCCUCUCCUUUUGCUUUGUUCUGAAAAAUAAAGUUUUCUGUAAAAUGGAA